UACAGAGGUCUCAAGCGUUGUUCGGAUUCAUUGGGCGUAAAGGGCGCGUAGGCGGGUUGCCGCGUCCGGGGUGAAAGCCCCCGGCUCAACCGGGGAGAGUCGUCGGGGACCGCACCGCUUGAGGGCGGUAGGGGCUGGUGGAAUGCCUGGUGUAGUGGUGAAAUGCGUAGAGAUCAGGCAGAACACCUGGGGCGAAGGCGGCCAGCUGGGCCGUCCCUGACGCUGAGGCGCGAAGGCGUGGGGAGCGAACGGG
rnacentral:rRNA from 1 species